UUGCUGUUUGAAGAAUCGUUGUCGCAGCUCACGCACAGGGAGCUUCUAGCUCUCUCUAUCCGCUGUGGGGAAAGUCCCCGGAGAUACAGGGCGUGUCCUCGUCCAACACAACGGAAAGCGACCGGCUCUAAGCACGACGGUUACUGGUCGAGGACGGCGAGAAUGAUUUGCAAGGCCAAAGUCUUAUCGGGUGCCCUGCUCCAUCUCAGCCACUCUGUUGCUUGAUUCAAUGGUUGACCUCUCGGUGACGGCGUAGGUGCGCAAAGAUACGAGCGUGCCUAUUGCUCGAGUGGUUUGAUCGGAGGACGAGCAGUUCGUUGCUCAUAGACACAGUUAUACGAUUGUCGACCUGGCUUUCCAGGUCUUCAACUCAAUGGGGCUCACUCUCAUUCAGCA
rnacentral:RNase_MRP_RNA from 2 species